rnacentral:rRNA from 1 species
CAGCGAAACUGCGAAUGGCUCAUUAAAUCAGUUAUCGUUUAUUUGAUAGUACCAUACUACUUGGAUAACCGUGGUAAUUCUAGAGCUAAUACAUGCUAAAAACCUCGACUUCGGAAGAGGUGUGUUUAUUAGAUUAAAGACCAAUGCCCUCCGGGGCUCACUGGUGAUUCAUAAUAACCUCUCGAAUCGCACGGCCCUGCGCCGGCGAUGGUUCAUUCAAAUUUCUGCCCUAUCAACUUUCGACUUUAGUGUAGUGGACUAAAGUGGUUGCAACGGGUAACGGAGGGUUAGGGCUCGACCCCGGAGAAGGAGCCUGAGAAACGGCUACUACAUCCAAGGAAGGCAGCAGGCGCGCAAAUUACCCAAUCCCGACACGGGGAGGUAGUGACAAUAAAUACUGAUACAGGGCUCUUUCGGGUCUUGUAAUUGGAAUGAGUACAAUUUAAAUCCCUUAACGAGGAACAAUUGGAGGGCAAGUCUGGUGCCAGCAGCCGCGGUAAUUCCAGCUCCAAUAGCGUAUAUUAAAGUUGUUGUGGUUAAAAAGCUCGUAGUUGAACCUGGGGCCCCGCGCCCGCCGGUCCGCCUCACCGCGUGCACUGGCGCGGCCGGGGCUUUCACUUGGGGAACCGCAUGCCCUUCGCUGGGCGUGCGCGGAACCAGGACCUUUACUGUGAAAAAAUUAGAGUGUUCAAAGCAGGCCUAUGCUCGAAUACAUUAGCAUGGAAUAAUAGAAUAGGACGCGCGGUUCUAUUUUGUUGGUUAUGGGACCGCCGUAAUGAUUAAUAGGGCCAGUCGGGGGCAUCAGUAUUCAAUAGUCAGAGGUGAAAUUCUUGGAUUUAUUGAAGACUAACUACUGCGAAAGCAUUUGCCAAGGAUGUUUUCAUUAAUCAGGAACGAAAGUUAGGGGAUCGAAGACGAUCAGAUACCGUCGUAGUCUUAACCAUAAACUAUGCCGACUAGGGAUCGGGCGAUGUUACAUUCUGACUCGCUCGGCACCUUACGAGAAAUCAAAGUCUGUGGGUUCCUGGGGAAGUAUG